UGAGAAGAGUUGCUUAUUGU
rnacentral:piRNA from 1 species